GGUUAUACAUCUUUAGUUAUAGGCUAUGCAUCUUAGGUUAUAGGUUAUACACCUUAAGUUAUAGGCUAUGCAUCUUAGGUUAUAGGUUAUACACCUUAAGUUAUAGGUUUUGCAUCUAAAUUUAUAGGUUAUACUUCUUAAGUUAAGUUCAUUUUCAUUUAUUUGUUGUUUUUUUUACUACCAUUUUUUAGCCCAAUUUUAUUAGUUUUGUUGGCUAGAUUUAAUCUAAUUAUUAGAUUGAAUAUAUUUAUUAGAUUGAAUCUUAUUAUUAUUUUGGUAGACAGAAAAUGUUUGUAAAGAAGACUAAUUGACUAAAUGUUUUUUGAGAAAUGGAUCUUGCUAUUCAUAAAGCUUAAAAUGUAUUUGAAAUCAUUUACUGUGUUGUUAGCAAAGCACUAUAGAUGAUCAUAAGAUUGUAUGGUGGGGAAUUAGACUAAAACAAUUUUUUUUUUUGUCAUUUGUAUUGCUGCAAAUAAUUGUUUCUUAAUCAGCUAUUUUUCUACAUCUAUAUGAUUUUAUGUAAUGUUAAAUUGUCACUUGUUGUUACAUUGUUGCCUGUACUUAGCAUUGAUGGUAAGUAUUUUUGUUUUUUGAGUUUGAAUCUGUUGUUACAUUUCUUAUCUCCUAGUCAGAAACCUUCAAAACUAACUGUUACCUCUCUAUCUACAAUGAAAACCUGAAUGUAUUAAACCUUUACAUUUGGCCAAAUUAAUUUCCUUUACACUUGUUUAUAAGCCAUCUCUUCUUUGGCCAGCAUCACUUCUCUAAAGAGUAACAAUAUAUUGAAUUGAUGAAAUAGUGUUUUUGUGUAUGAGUGAAUGCUUGUAUGUGUCUGUGUAUGAACAGAUUAUUCAUUAAAGAAAUGGAGGAGUGCAUGAAGUCAAUAAAAAGCUUGUUUCUCAACAUCCUAUUGAGGGUUUAGCUCUUAAGUAGCUAAGAAAAGGUGCUAAAUGUUCCACGCAUCACCAUUUUAGCUCCAUUUUAUAAAGCUAUUUGUGACAGUAGGGACAAAGUGAACAUUUCAUUUCCCUUUACUCAAACAUGUCGCAGUUAUCACUGAAUUUUGAAUAAGUAACAAUAUGGCUUUAUUUGGGACCAUUGUUAGGAUUUUUCGCUUAUAAAUUUCUUUUCUUAUAUCUAUAAGAUUUCACUAGUUAAUUGUAUUUAAUAAUAUACUCACCUUUUGUUAAAAAUACAAAGUUCCGAAGAUGAAAUGAAAGUAUAUUACCAACUGAAAUAAAUGUUCUUGGGGAAAAAAUGAUUGCAUAUCUAGUUCUUAUUUCACUAGUUUUUCCACGUUUUUUUUAGAAGGCGUUAUAUAUUUUUUCUAUGAAGUAAUUAUUUAAUGUGCGUCUUAUCUCUAAAAUAGCAGGUAUAUUGUGUUCAAAUCACUGCUAUAAGAAUGAAACUUUUUUUUUGAUAUUUUUAUCUACAAAUGUUAAUGAAAUGUAAAUAAAUGAAUUACAUCGAUGCACGUCUUAUGUGAUUAAUUGAUUGAAGAUAUGAAUUACUAAAACAGUUUUGAGUGACACAGGCUUCUCCUCAAAUCAUUUUUGUUUUGUUUUUAUUGUUUCU